GACGAACCGUGCAAACGUUGUUCGGAAUCACUGGGCUUAAAGGGCGCGUAGGCGGGCAGUCAAGUCUGUGGUGAAAUCUUUCGGCUCAACCGGAAAAUUGCCGUGGAUACUGGCUGUCUUGAGGGAGGUAGGGGCCCGUGGAACUUCCGGUGGAGCGGUGAAAUGCGUUGAUAUCGGAAGGAACGCCGGUGGCGAAAGCGGCGGGCUGGAUCUCUUCUGACGCUGAUGCGCGAAAGCUAGGGGAG
rnacentral:rRNA from 1 species